GAUGAACGCUAGCGGCAGGCCUAACACAUGCAAGUCGAGGGGUAGAGGAAGCUUGCUUCCUUGAGACCGGCGCACGGGUGCGUAACGCGUAUGCAACCUACCUUUUACAGGGGAAUAGCCCCAGAGAAAUUUGGAUUAAUGCCCCAUGGUAUAAUCGGAUGGCAUCAUUUGAUUAUUAAAGUUCCAACGGUAAAGAUGGGCAUGCGUCCUAUUAGCUAGAUGGUAAGGUAACGGCUUACCAUGGCUACGAUAGGUAGGGGUCCUGAGAGGGAGAUCCCCCACACUGGUACUGAGACACGGACCAGACUCCUACGGGAGGCAGCAGUGAGGAAUAUUGGUCAAUGGACGCAAGUCUGAACCAGCCAUGCCGCGUGCAGGAUGACGGUCCUAUGGAUUGUAAACUGCUUUUGUACGAGAAGAAACAACAUUACGUGUAAUGUCUUGACGGUAUCGUAAGAAUAAGGAUCGGCUAAACUCCGUGCCAGCA
rnacentral:rRNA from 1 species